GAGGUACAACAUGGUAUUGCACAGACGAUACACAUACACAUGUAACCGCCAUGUCCAUGACUAAGGCCUUGAAUGCCUCCUUGAAGCCGGGAACCGCGAAAAGAAGCCAACCGAGUCUAAGGACGCCUUUCCCUUCCAUAUGCUAACGCCUUUAACUAAGCGAACAAGAAACGAAGUGCUAUCCGGCUAUCAUGAGGCCACCAUAUCUGCACUUAAUAGCCUGUUGCUGCUCUUUAUAAGAGCGUGUAUAUGUUAUUCAUACUGCUGUUUCUGGCAUAACCGUGGCUGUUCUACAUCUUUUACUCGGCGUGUCUGUCUUCGGUGCCGCGCCCAGCGUCAACCAGUCCUUCUCCUUUAUAUGAAGAUAGCUAGCGGAUUGUCGGUCGGAUCGCUUUGUACGUUGUGCUCAAGAAUAUAGGGGAAACACGACGGGCCAUUCUUUAAGGGCUAAAGCAGAAGAAUCACGUCGACCUACCGAGCGGCCUAGUACCCGUCCGUGAACGAUCCAACCAACCGUUGUUCUUCUCGUUUGCGCAUUCACCUCUUCUUUUUUUCCUUCGAUGUUGUCGUCAUCGGUGUCGUUGACGACUUCAUGCCAUUUUGCCUGCUCCUUCGCUUGACUUGCGCGCGCCGCCGCCACAGUGAGCCCCUAUUCCGGCCGCCGCUCUCUGAUAAGCAAACUUAAGCAGAGGCAGAAACUGCUGGCAAGAGUCUCGCUACGUGCUAAGCUGAGAGCUAACAAGGGGCGAAGAGUCGGGAAAGAACUGAAGGUAGAAGCUUCCCACUCGGGCCUCUUUCUCUGUUCCUCUUGCAUAGUUCUUUUCUCUUAUACAAAGAGCUGCCGUUGCCUAUAGCUCCAACUAGAAGAAGGAAGGCGGUGAAUAGGCUGUAUCGAGGGCGUAGGGCUAGGGUUGUAUUUCGUUCCACCACGCCUUCAAGGGCCGCCUGUUCCAUAUAUUUCACUACCAGAAGCAUCUUCAACAGCAAGCCCGACUGUACCGUUUCACAGAAACCGUAGUGAUGCCAGCAGUACGGAACGAACCGGAGGCGUAGAACCCAUACGGGAGUAAAAAAGUUGGAUGUAGCAGAAUGAGCAAGGUCCCUUGGAUGAGAAUGAACGAGAAGGGAGCCCUGCUCCAAAUUUGAUGAUCUGUCUGCACGUCGCCGCCGUUUGCUACCGCCUGCUGUUGUUUCCGCUACCGUACACCUCCGAGCGGCGCUGGUAGCAGCAGUAGUGGAGACAGACGCCGCAGAAGCGCCGAUGGUACAGCUUAGUUGUUAGAACGAGCGCGCCACAGCUGCUUUCACACUCGUUCGGUCUUAACAGAGGACGCGCGGCAAUGGUGUGCCAGUAGUGACGGCUAUGUGGGUUGGCUAUGAGUGGUAUAGGUACUCCAUAUAGCCAUUACUGGAUGGCAGUUCUUGCAAGAAAAGUGCACAGGGAUCUAACGUGGUAGCGACGGCAAAAGCGGUGACGGCAACAGCCGAAAAAAGAUCAUAUCAGAGGAGCGGGGGUAUUGGAAAACAGGCCCCGCGUAUGCGUGCAUGGUUUGGAGGAUGCGUGCGGCCUGUUGUCUGAUGAGGUGAUAAGGUGCAACGAAUAUGCGGAGCGGCUAAAUUUUCCCAGCCGUUCAGAUAUAGGAAUAAGGACGAAAGAUGGCCUGCUCAAGGUCACAUAUCAGUGAACGUGGGUGGCAAGAUCGCGCACUCAACCACAUCGUUUUAAAAAGGAGAAAGCAUAUCAUAGCGCGUGGAUACAAAUGCAUACGUGAUGUGAAGCUUAUUCAUCGCAUUGCUCUUUACGGUUCUUCGGCCCAGUUGAUCCAAGAGCAAAAAACUCGACAUCUCACACGUCAAGUCUCCUAUG